UCCUUAACAACAAGUAGUAAUGCUAUUCCUUUACCCUGUCAGAGCACUUUGAAAAAGUGGUCUGUGGUAUGUGGAAAGCUGAUGUUGCGUGUGAAGAUUACAGACAGCUUUAUCCAAGGAGAUCCGGCUCUUGUAGUUGGGAAAGUGUUGCCUCUUCGGUUUUCGAACAAGCAAUCCUAUCAGGGAUCUGGCUCUCGAGAUUCGGAGAAUGAUGUCUCUUCGAUUUUUGAGAAAGCAAUCAUGCUGGGGGUCUGGCUCUCGAGAUUCGGAGAGCGGUGUCUCUUCGAUUUUUGAGAAAGUAAUCAUGUUGGGAGUUUGGCUCUCGAGAUUCGGAGGGCGGUGCGUCUUCGAUUUUGGAGCAAGCAAUCUUGUUGGGAGUGUUUUCUCGAAUGUGAGUAAAGGUUGGCCAUGUUUGCUAGUCUACCUUGCCACGAAGCACAGAGGUUGACACACAGGGACUUUCCAAUUAUCCAGCAAUGGUACUGUUCCUUUACCCUCUCUUCGAUUUUUGAGAAAGUAGUCAUGUUGGGAGUCUGGCUCUCGAGAUUCGGAGGACGGUGCCUCUUCGAUUUUGGAGCAAGCAAUCUUGUUGGGAGUGUUUUCUCGAAUGUGAGUAAAGGUUGGGCAUGUUUGCUAGUCUACCUUGCCACGAAACACAGAGGUUGACACACAGGGACUUUCCAAUUAUCCAGCAGUGAUACUGUUCCUUUACCCUUGUGGGUAAUAAUAUGGGGUAGCUAGACCUUUCAAAAUUUAUGUGUCUAAACUUUGUUAGUGUGCUGUUUCUUU
rnacentral:lncRNA from 1 species